CCUACGGGCGGCAGCAGUAGGGAAUCUUCCACAAUGGGCGAAAGCCUGAUGGAGCAACGCCGCGUGGGUGAAGAAGGUCUUCGGAUCGUAAAACCCUGUUGUUAGAGAAGAAAGUGCGAGAGAGUAACCGUUCACGUUUCGACGGUACCUAACCAGAAAGCCACGGCUAAUUACGUGCCAGCAGCCGCGGUAAUACGUAGGUGGCAAGCGUUAACCGGAUUUAUUGGGCGUAAAGCGAACGCAGGCGGUCUUUUAAGUCUGAUGUGAAAGCCUUGGGCUUAACCGGAGUAGUGCAUUGGAAACUGGGAGACUUGAGUGCAGAAGAGGGGAGUGGAACUCCAGGUGUAGCGGUGAAAUGCGUAGAGAUAUGGAAGAACACCAGUGGCGAAGGCGGCUCUCUGGUCUGUAACUGACGCUGAGGUUCGAAAGCGUGGGUAGCAAACAGGAUUAGAUACCCGGGUAGUC
rnacentral:rRNA from 1 species